rnacentral:rRNA from 1 species
UACGAAGGGGGCUAGCGUUGCUCGGAAUUACUGGGCGUAAAGCGCACGUAGGCGGUCUUUUAAGUCGGGGGUGAAAUCCUGGAGCUCAGCUCCAGAACUGCCUUCGAUACUGGAAGACUUGAGUCCGGGAGAGGUGAGUGGAACUGCGAGUGUAGAGGUGAAAUUCGUAGAUAUUCGCAAGAACACCAGUGGCGAAGGCGGCUCACUGGCCCGAUACUGACGCUGAGGCACGAAAGCGUGGGGAGCGAACAGG